GUUUAUCAAAACAUGUCUAUUGAUGGUAUAAAUAGUCUGGCCUGCCCACUGAUUUAAAUAUUAAAGGGCCGCGGUAUUUUAACCGUGCAAAGGUAGCAUAAUCAUUAGGUUUUUAAUUAGAAUCUUGUAUGAAUGGUUCGACAAAAGAAAUACUGUCUUUAUGUUAAAAUUUGAAUUUAACUUUUAAGUGAAAAGGCUUAAAUAUAUUAAAGGGACGAUAAGACCCUAUAAAACUUUACAUUGUAAUUUUAUUUAAUUAAAUUUAUAAAAUAAAAAUUUGAUUUAAUUAUAUGUUAUGUUGGGGAGACAGAAGUAAAAAUAAAUUUUAACUGCUUUAUAUUAAAACAUAUAUUUAUGGAAUACUAAAUGAUCCUUUAUAAAGAUUAAAAGAUUAAGUUACUUUAGGGAUAACAGCGUUAUUUUUUUUGAGAGUUCCUAUCGAAAAGAAAGUUUGCGACCUCGAUGUUGAAUUAAAAUAUCUUUAUAGUGCAGAAGCUAUAAAAGAAGGUCUGUUCGACCUUUAAAUUUUUACAUGAUUUGAGUUCAAACCGGCGUGAGCCAGGUUGGUUUCUAUCUUUUAAAUAAUAAUGGGUUAUUUUAGUACGAAAGGAGUAAAUAACUAAAAUAUUUUUAUACAGCUAUUUUGGCAGAUAAUAU
rnacentral:rRNA from 1 species